UGCGCAGGCGGUAUCAUAAGUCAGAUGUGAAAGUUCGGGGCUUAACCCCGGAUUUGCAUUUGAAACUGUAAUACUUGAGUACUGGAGAGGUAAGUGGAAUUCCUAGUGUAGCGGUGAAAUGCGUAGAUAUUAGGAGGAACACCAGUGGCGAAGGCGACUUACUGGACAGAUACUGACGCUGAGGCGCGAAAACGUGGGGAUCAAACAGGAUUAGAUACCCCUGUA
rnacentral:rRNA from 1 species